rnacentral:misc_RNA from 1 species
GGGCUUGUCUCAAAGAUUAA